ACCCAUAUUAAUAGCUCAGUGGUUAGAGUACUGUUUUCAUACGGCGGGAGUCAUUGGUUCAAAUCCAAUAGUAGGUA
rnacentral:tRNA from 1 species